AAAGCGAAAUUUGCAUUCGAGAUCGAGAGAUCACAUCCGAGGCGCGAGAGCUGAGACUAGAGGAAGUUAAUCGUCAGAUUGAUACCUUUUGAACGGAUUAACCCAAGCUUAAACGUGUUCUAGUUUCAUCUGUGAUAUAACGAAGUCUCAGGUAUUCUUAUGUAUUCAUUGGAGUUCUCAUGAUGGCUGGCUGGGAACUAGCAAACUCAAUGGUGCUCACCCCGCAUUCUGACCCAAGGAGGUUAUCCUUUGAUCAUGAUGAGUUUAUAUCCAAGUAUACCACACAGUCCUUCCACUACCAUCCCACUAGUCCCAGGAACCCCCAUGGAUACACCCCGUCACCCCAAAGGCCUUCCAAUGGGGAGGGCUCUGGGGGCGGCCCCUCCUUCUGCACCAAAGAUAAUAUUGAUCAGUGUGUCAGCUAUCUGGACCAGGUAAGUGUUGAUCUCCUAAUAUUAAAAACAUGAUGCAGGCCUAUCUGUGUAGAGAAUUUACCAGUUCCAAUAGGAUUUUUACCUUUUUUUAAAUGAAAAUUUAGUAAAUUGUUGUGGUGCAUUGAACCUGUCUUGGGACAAAAUUUGUAACCUCAAUUUAAAACAAGUAGCCCUACAAAAUGUACUGUUCCAUGACACUUUAUAUUCAAUGUUUCAAAAAUUUAUGUAUUACCGUAUUGCAUGAUUUAAUGAUAUAGUAAUGUAAGUUUUAUAGCUCUCUAAUAAACUGAUUGUGUUUAAUAAUCAUAUCCAAUAUAAAGCUAUUUUUCUUUUGUUUCCAAAAAAUAUCUGAAAAUUACCAAUAGAACAUGAAGAUCAUUUUAGUGUGCCUGAGUUGUGAUGAAUCAUAUACAUGUAGGCCUACAUGUAUAUGCAUGAAAGGGCUCUGAUUCCGUUUUACAUUACUGUCACUUAUCAUCUUAUCCCAUUCAUUGUGCAAUGAUUCUAUCCACAGCCUAUCUAUUUUAUAUCCAAUGUGACUAUACAAUGAAACACAAAGCUUUCAUCACAAAGGAUAGGCCAAUGAAAGCUGAUAUACCUGUCUGUGUCCAUUGUCCUGACAAUAUCCAAAGACUUCAGACCUUAACAAUAAGAUGUGAAAAAGAUGUUCCUCCAUUCUUCAUCCAUGCAUUGUGUGGUUUUUAGCUUAAUAUAGGUGGAGAAAAUGUUUGACUAAGGAUGUUUUAUUUAUUUUACCUUUUAUUUUGUUGAAUGUUUGAUUUACUUGGUUUUAAGUGUUUCCAGGGCACUGUACAUGUACAUACAUGUAUAAAGGUACAUGUAGCUUUUGAUGUUUAUUGAUAAAAGGAUAAUUACGGUAGAAUAUAUUGUAUUUAAUCUUUAUUGCUCCUUUAUCAUAUGGCAUUAAUAUUUAAGUUCUAAAGUUCAGUUUUAAUAUUCAAUGAUAAAUUUUAAAAUAAAAUUGACAUUGACUAAUUAAAUCAAUAUUUACUCUCCAUGACAUUUUGAUUUAAAUGGCUAAGGGUGUGAUAUAUACAGUGUAUACAUGGUCAUAGUCCAGUUGAACGUCAUAAUCUGACCGGCAUGAUAAAGCACAAUAGCUUUGACUUUGGCAAAAUGUUAACUAAAAUUCAUGAGAAAAAAAUGUAUGUACAUGUACAGUACAUUGUGUACAGUGUUGUUCUUAUUAUUAUUUAUUUAGUGGUGGUUUUUUAUUUAGUGUUUUAUUUCAUUCUUUUGAAACAGGAAAUUUGCUUUUUAAAGUGUGAACAGUCAGGUACCAUAUUAUGAAUGAUACAUUCAAAUCAAAUUGCUCAAUAAUGUGUUUUAGUAAGCAUUCGUUGACAAUACAAUUUUAUAGCUGAAUGUAUCAUACUUUUAUAUGAUAUGUUUUAUGACAAUAAUGUUUGUUAUGAGAUGAGUCAGAUUGUUAGACAUUGUAAUCAGCUAUGAAGUCUGCAAAGUCCAACAAGAUUUUAAUAGUUGAACGGACAAAAAAAAAAUCAAUUUAUUUAAAGCAGGGGGCCAAUGUAAAUGUACAAUACCAAAUCCUUGCUGUACAUGUAUGAGUAUGAUUGCUCAAAAUCAGUGUAAUACAUGUACAUACAUACAUAAAUUAAUAAUAUGUAAUUUGAGUAUAAUGUAGCUAUGCACAUACAGUAUUGCUCGGAAUAAAGUUGACGCUUUACCGCCCUGUACCGCGUAAGUCGAUGUGAAAUCGGGUCGCGCGCGAUUACCACCAGCAAAUUUCCAUCGGCGGGAGUCGCGCUCUGAGAGAAAUUACCACGGUAAUGUACCACGAGAUUUUUAAAUGAAAAUCUCGUGUAAUACCGCGAUAAUACCGCAGAAGGAGGGACGAUCUUCUGUCGAAGAAAUAUUGAUUUGAUAAUUAAUAAAAUGUCACCAUUUGGACAACUCUCAUGGCUCGAAUUAGCCCUGCUGACUUGCCGCGAUGUCUCUCUCGAAAUUACGAUGUACAGCAUGCAACAACUUAUUGCCGUAAGAUGCCGUCUCCUCGAAACCCAAACAAAAAAAGAUCACAGAGCUGUUGAGCUUGGCGCGAGUGCACAAUUUUAAUGCACGCUCGUGUCAUCGCCCUCAAAUUUACAUCUUUCUGAACUUCGUUGAAUGAAAGUCGGGUCGAGAUGAGAUCACGUACUUUCUGGGAUAAGUAGUUAAUAGUUAUAAGAAAAUGGAGCAUCCAAGAUAAGAAUGGACAGAGUCGAGCAAGAGAAGGAGAGAGCGAAAGAUACGAGAGACAGAUGGAGGGGGAAAUGAUCAAGAGAGAGAGAGCAAAAGAAAAUGGAGAGAAAGGGGGGCGGGGUGGCUAGAUUAAGCAAGAGACGCCGAGGCUGGAAAAAACAGACCUAUUGUUUAUUUCCUUACAUUCCUUUAUCGUCAUUCUCUUACUUUGUUUGCAACCAGAAUGAUUUAAUUUCAUCAUAUUUUCAGUGCAUUAUUGCCAAACAUUCUUCCGCCAUUAUGAUAUAAGGAAUGAUAAACUCCUUUUUUUCUCCCACCACUCGAUCCAGUCACACAAACACAGGACGUACAGGGCUUAAUUUGAUUGCAACACGAAUGUCCUUGACUCAUGCUUAAUUACAAUCAGUGUUCUUUUCCCUUGUUUCCUCAUAUUUUAUUUUUUAUCGUUUUUUAUGUUGAUAUAUUUCCAUUUGACCCAUGUCUCACUCUUGAAUUUCUACUCUAUCGCUAUCUCAGCUCACUUCUCCCUCGAUCCCUACCCUUUUUUUCUACUCCAUUCUUCUCAAUCCUUUUGAAUCCCUUUUUUUGUGUGUAUGUGUUUUUUUGUUUGUUAUGCGACGCUCAAUCUGGUGUUUAUGAAUUAACAAAGAAAAAAAAAUUUAAGUGUCAAUUUAUUGUCACCCGAUUGUCAUAACCAUAUAUCUUUAUCAAUUUUUAUUAAUCUUCAUUGUUCGAAUGGUAGUUUUCAGAAUUGUUUUUAUAUUCUCUCCUCUCACUGAAUCACGUCACCUCUGCUGUCAUCUCUUGCUCGCAGUGGCGUACCUAGGAUUUUCCAAAGGGGAGGGGGGGGGGGCAAAUUCGUCAAAAAAAUUGACAAGCAAAAAAAAAAGGUCUUCGACCAGAAAUAAAAGAUAUUAUACCAGG